UACGGGGGGGGCAAGCGUUGCUCGGAAUCACUGGGCGUAAAGCGCACGUAGGCGGAUUGUUAAGUCAGGGGUGAAAUCCUGGAGCUCAACUCCAGAACUGCCUUUGAUACUGGCGAUCUCGAGUCCGGGAGAGGUGAGUGGAACUGCGAGUGUAGAGGUGAAAUUCGUAGAUAUUCGCAAGAACACCAGUGGCGAAGGCGGCUCACUGGCCCGGUACUGACGCUGAGGAGCGAAAGCUGGGGGAGCGAACAGG
rnacentral:rRNA from 1 species